AACGAACGCUGGCGGCAUGCCUAACACAUGCAAGUCGAACGAAGGCUUCGGCCUUAGUGGCGCACGGGUGCGUAACGCGUGGGAAUCUGCCCUUUGGUUCGGAAUAACAGCUGGAAACGGCUGCUAAUACCGGAUGAUGACGAAAGUCCAAAGAUUUAUCGCCAGAGGAUGAGCCCGCGUUGGAUUAGGUAGUUGGUGGGGUAAAGGCCUACCAAGCCGACGAUCCAUAGCUGGUCUGAGAGGAUGAUCAGCCACACUGGGACUGAGACACGGCCCAGACUCCUACGGGAGGCAGCAGUGGGGAAUAUUGGACAAUGGGCGCAAGCCUGAUCCAGCAAUGCCGCGUGAGUGAUGAAGGCCCUAGGGUUGUAAAGCUCUUUUACCUGGGAAGAUAAUGACUGUACCGGGAGAAUAAGCCCCGGCUAACCCCGUG
rnacentral:rRNA from 1 species